rnacentral:rRNA from 1 species
UACGAAGGGGGCUAGCGUUGCUCGGAAUUACUGGGCGUAAAGGGCGCGUAGGCGGAUAGUUUAAUCAGAGGUGAAAGCCCAGGGCUCAACCUUGGAAUUGCCUUUGAUACUGGCUGUCUUGAGUUCGGGAGAGGCGAGUGGAAUGCCGAGUGUAGAGGUGAAAUGCGUAGAUAUCAGAAGGAACAUCAGUGGCGAAAGCGGCUUCCUGGUCCAGUACCGACGUUCAGGCACGAAAGCGUGGGGAGCAAACAGG